UACAGAGGUCCCGAGCGUUGUUCGGAUUCAUUGGGCGUAAAGGGUGCGUAGGCGGCGGGGCAAGUCUGAUGUGAAAUCCCGGGGCUCAACCCCGGAACUGCAUUGGAUACUGCCUUGCUUGAGUACUGGAGAGGGAACUGGAAUUUACGGUGUAGCAGUGAAAUGCGUAGAGAUCGUAAGGAAGACCAGUGGCGAAGGCGAGUCUCUGGACAGUUACUGACGCUGAGGCACGAAGGCCAGGGGAGCAAACGGG
rnacentral:rRNA from 1 species